AAGCUACCGCCACAAGAUGACAAUUAUUAUGGGAGAAGAGAGCGAAGAACGCGUUGCCACAGUCAAGAACCCGAAACCGAGAGACAGAUACACCGAAAGAGACGCAGAUGCAGUCUGGUGACUCGACACGCGCUGCCACAGAAACCUCCAACCCCGGAUGACAACACCAAGAAAGAAAGCUCCCCACGCGCACCCACGACUGAGAACCAGCCACAAGAUCUCCCAAGAUCUAGGCGCAUCCGUACGAAACCAAGAAACAGGACUCAAUCCUGACAAAGCAAAUACCUCACCGAAAAGAGGCGAAAUGAUGAAGAACCGCUGGAAUAGAAGCCUCUUCAGGACUCCACGCG
rnacentral:lncRNA from 1 species